GGUAGCGUGGCCGAGCGGUCCAAGGCGCUGGUUUAAGGCACCAGUCUCUUCGGGGGCAUGGGUUCGAAUCCCAUCGCUGCUA
rnacentral:tRNA from 1 species